rnacentral:lncRNA from 1 species
GCCAAAGCUGAACUCUAAAUGGAGCAUCCACAGAAUGGAGAUCUCCUGCACAAGCCAGGGAUUCUUUUUCCUCAAAGAGCACAGCUCUGGAGUGAGCUCUGCGAAGGGAGUACAGAUGCCUGGAAGGACCCUCUACAGGAGCCUUUGCUCCUGGGUGUUUCCGCUGCAUAGCCCAACCAGACCUCCAUAACCCGCAUUAGCCCCCAAGGGCUUUCUCCUGCUCUGUCCAACUAGCAGCAACGCCUCCAAGCUCAUGCCUUAUUAUUUAUUCCACCGAAGCGGAGGAGUUGACAACAGCAAAAUCUCUCUUCUUAUCCUACUUGGCUGUGAACUCAAACAAAAAAGAAAAAAAUUGGGACCAGCCACCGCCCUGGGGGAACAGUGGCAGGGUGGAGUGAUCUGAACAUGAGCGUGAGAAGAACUGAGUGGCUACAGUGAUUGGGCUAUAAUAGACUCUGUCACUGGCCCAGCUGUAAUCCCCGGCGCCUGCUGCUUCACUGUGUUCUGCAGGAGUUCCACUGCCCUGAAUCUCUGACUCUGUGCCUGAGGUCUUUUUCUGGAAUUGUGGAAGGUACUCUGCUUUGUGGGAAAUAAGCUGGAAGUUCUGGGAAUCACACUUCCCAGAAGCUACUCCCAACUAGUGAUUGACGGGAGUUGAAGUAAAAACAUCAUGGCUUUCUUACCCCUUAAGUGGAAUAUUUUACACUAUUUUUCAGAAUUUCCCCAUGGAGUUAAGCUGUAAUUGUGCAUCACGGCAGCCAGGUUAAUAAGGUAUCUGUAUCUGCCAGAAUUAAAUGAGAAGGCAGAAUCACAUAGUAAUUUGAGCAGGAAAAGUUUAAUAUAAGGAAUUAUGAUGUAAUUAUAGAGUUGUUCUAUAAUUAUGUAAUAUUAUAUUCUAAUCUCCUCUUAUACACUAUAGGAGGGGAUUUGCAGUAACAAGGGAUUAGAUAGCAAGAUGUAAGAGAACUCUGAAGAAUAUAGGACUAGUGGAUAUAAGGAACAGCCACUACCCCUGGGGCUGAGGUGGAGCACCCCAAGAAGUAAAGAACCUGGAAUAAGAACACCUCACCUCACUCACGGCUUAUUGGAUGGUGAAGAAGUCCCUCAGUUGUGAUGCUGUAGAACUUUCUGGAAAUUUGCCCUCCAUAUUGUCAAAGGAAUCUGUCCAAGAGAGGUUUCAUCUCUCAGAACUUAUCUCAAAACUUUCUCGGGGAUUGCCAGGGGAAAUUGUCACAGGAGACUCCAUGAGGGGUCAUUUCACUCCUAGGCUGUUCAAGAGAGUUCUGGGGGAAGCUGCGCACUGCUGGUCACAACAGGUUGUAAGAGCUGGGCCCUGGAGAAGCUGCCUGCACUGCAGGAGACUGGGUGCUGCUGGAGUUGCUGGAUGAGCUUAAGGCAUGUGGGGAGAGGAGAGCAUUAAAACUAGGAAAUGAAACCUCUUUCUAUUCUACUGUCCCUCCAGCACCCUCUACUGUAAACACUUUAACAUUGUACCAGCUGGCACAGGAGAAAUAUUUACGGGGCCCAUCUAUAACAUAGCAAAGCAGGCAACAAAGGGUGAACUUGGAGUGCCUCACAUGUUGCUCUAUGUUGACCUCUUCCCUUUCCUUUUUCAUUCCCCUACUCCCCUUAUUGGUUUUCCUUAAAUUCUAAAUAAAAUACAGUCGUCCUCGGUAUCCAAGGGGGAUUGGUUCCAGGCUUCUCAGAGAAUACCAAAAUCUGUGGGUGCUCAAGUCUCUGUUAUAAAAUGGCAUAGUAUUUGCAUACAACCUACACACGUCUUCCCAUAUACUUUAAAUCAUUUCCAUGUUACUUACAAUACCUAAUAAAAAUGCUACAUAAAUAGUUGUCAUACUGAAUUACUUUUUAUUUUUGUAUUGUUAUUUAUUAAUUUUUUCAAAUGUUUUUUACUGCCUGUUUGGUUGAAUCAUGGAUGUAGAGUUCAUGGAUAUUGAGGGCUGACUAAUUGCACUUGAAUUUUGACUCAGUGUUUGCUUUUGGGAAAACCCAGACUACACUUUGAAAGUAAAGCCAAUAAAAUUUUCUAAUGCAUUGUAUUUGGGAUAUGAGCAAAAUGGAGGAGUCAAGGACGCUUCCAGUGUUUUUGGCCUAAACCAUGGGGAAAAUUUCACCUUUAUAAUAUUAAGUUUCUUAGUUUUAAUACUGAAUAUGAUACCUCCUUCCAAUUUCCCUGUAGAGCCCUUUGCAUCUUUCAUUGAAUUUAUUCCUAAGCAUUUAAUAGUUUUGAUGCCAUUGUAAAUAAUAUAUUUUUUCUUUUUCUUUUUUUUAAAAAUAGAGUCUCACAUGCUGGAGUGCAGUGGUGCGAUCUUGGCUCACUGCAGCCUCAAACUCCUGGGUUCAAGCGAUCCUCUUGCCUCAGUCCCUCAAGUAGCUGGGACUACAGACAUGCACCACCAGGCCAGGCUAAUUUUUUUGUAUUUUUUGUAGAGAUGGGAUUUUGCCAUGUUGCCUAGGCUAGUCUUGAACUCCUGAGCUCAAGUGAUCCACCAGCCAUGGCCUCCCAAAGUGCUGGGAUUACAGGCAUGAGCUACCACAUCCAGCUUGUAAAUGGAAUAUUUUUAAAUGUCAGUUUCUAAAAUGUUUUGUUAGCAUAAAGAAAUACAAUUGACUUUUUAAUACCAAGCCAUCUUGCUAAUUUAAUAAUUUAGUUCUAGAUUUUAUUUAGACUUCAUAGUUGUGCAAUUGUACUAUCUGUGGAAAAUAACAAUUUUUCUCUUCCUUUAUAAUCUUUAGCUUUUUUUCCUUUUCCUUGGCUUUUUGCAAGAUAAUGGGACGUCCAGUGUGGUGUUAUAUACAAGUGGUAAUUGUGAGUGUCCCUGUUCUGUUCUUUUUGUUUGUUGCUCUCAAGCUCAAAGAAAAACAACUUUGUUAUUUCAUCAUUGAGUAUAAUAACACUUAAACUUUACUUACUGUAGGAUUAUUGUACAUAAUCUUUAUUGUAUUAAAGAUGUUCCUAUUUUGCUAAG